UGCUUUUCUUCCUUUCCUCGUGUCGAAUCCGUCAGACAAGGGGAACUUAUCUUUUUAUCAUUCGAGUGGACGUAACGUGUGACGAUAUUUUUGUUGGAUUUGGUCUUCAAAAUACUUUGAUUAACAGUGACAUAGAGGAUGACGUGGACUCAACGGACACAUCCGCAAAGACUCAGACUACAGCGAAUCCCUCCCAUCAGAGCCACCCAGUGAAGUUCAUGGAGUGCAGGGGGUUCACCUCUAGGGUGUGCUCAGUCUUGGUCAUGGUGUAGCAAAGAGAACUCCACGUCAAUUUAGAGGAGGUGAUCCAGCUACAAGGAUGCCAGCCACCAAUCAAAUAAUCAAUAUUUGUCAAAUGCUUUGCAUUUUGUACGUGAAUUUCUAUCAUUAACAUUUGCUGUCCUAUAGCAAUUUAUGUGCAUUUUGCUUACAUAACGUUAUGUGAGUCUUUCAGCCUCAAAGGGGGGAAUGAUGUAAAUUAUUUUAGUCUAUGCCAUUUCUGAUUACAUGUUUCAAGCUAACAACAGUUAUGAAUUGUUUCUUCACCACAUAAUGGACAACACCAUUUAAGGUUUUAGUGAUUUUGUAUAUAAGUUAAAGGUUGGGUAUGGAAUUCGCUUUUUUGCCAAUUUUUGCAAAAUUACUUGAAAUCCUUAUCAUAACCCACUUACAGCCACUGAGUUAGAAGUACUGACAUGAAAAUUAAACAAGUCAAUCAUCUGUGGAACGGG